GAUGAACGCUGACAGCAUGCUUAACACAUGCAAGUCAACUGUGGCGGACGGGUGAGUAACGCGUAAAGAACUUGCCUCACAGAUAGGGACAACAUUUGGAAACGAAUGCUAAUACCUGAUACUGUGAGAGAGCUUUGCGUCCCAUUAGCUAGUUGGAGAGGUAACGGCUCACCAAGGCGAGGAUGGGUAGCCGGCCUGAGAGGGUGAUCGGCCACAAGGGGACCGGGACGCGGCCCUUACGCCUACGGGGGGCAGCAGUGGGGAAUAAUGGACAAUGGACCAAAGUCUGAUCCAGCUAUUCUGUGUGCACGAUGAUUUUUUCGGAAUGUAAAGUGCGUGCAUUUAGAAAGCAGUACCAACAGAAGAAGUGACGGCUAAAUACGUGCCAGCAGCCGCGGUAAUAC
rnacentral:rRNA from 1 species